CUAUAAUGCAGUCGAACGCAAUCUUUGACUAAUGAGUGCUUGCACUCAGCGGUCAAAGUGCGAGUGGCGAACGGGUGAGUAACACGUGGGCAAUCUGCCCAAAAGUGGGGGAUAACACUUGGAAACAGGUGCUAAUACCGCAUCAACCGGCUGACCGCAUGGUCGGCCGGGCAAAGACGGCGUCAGCUGUCGCUUUUGGAUGAGCCCGCGGCGUAUUAACUAGUUGGUAAGGUAACGGCUUACCAAGGUGAUGAUACGUAGCCGAACUGAGAGGUUGAUCGGCCACAUUGGGACUGAGACACGGCCCAAACUCCUACGGGAGGCAGCAGUAGGGAAUCUUCCACAAUGGACGCAAGUCUGAUGGAGCAACGCCGCGUGUAUGAAGAAGGUCUUCGGAUCGUAAAAUACUGUUGUCAGAGAAGAACACGUGAUAGAGUAACUGCUAUGGCGCUGACGGUAUCUGACCAGCAAGUCACGGCUAACUACGUGCCAGCAGCCGCGGUAAUACGUAGGUGGCAAGCGUUGUCCGGAUUUAUUGGGCGUAAAGGGAACGCAGGCGGUCUUUUAAGUCUGAUGUGAAAGCCUUCGGCUUAACCGGAGAAGUGCAUUGGAAACUGGAAGACUUGAGUGCAGAAGAGGAGAGUGGAACUCCAUGUGUAGCGGUGAAAUGCGUAGAUAUAUGGAAGAACACCAGUGGCGAAAGCGGCUCUCUGGUCUGUAACUGACGCUGAGGUUCGAAAGC
rnacentral:rRNA from 1 species